rnacentral:rRNA from 1 species
UAAAGAUACUAAGGGCGUACGGUGGAUGCCUUGGUACAUGGAGGCGAUGAAGGACGUGAUAAGCUGCGAUAAGCCUCGGGAAGGUGCAAACAACCUUAGAUCCGAGGAUUUCCGAAUGGGGCAACCUGUCUCGGGUUAUGCCGAGACACUCCCAGUUGAACACAUAGGCUGGGUUGAGCUAACGGGGUGAAUUGACACAUCUAAGUAACCCUAGGAAAAGAAAACAAUCGUGAUUUCCUCAGUAGCGGCGAGCGAACAGGAAAGAGCCAAAACUUCGAUCAUGUUAAAGUCCGUAGACGUUGUGAUUGGAGUGUUGUGAGGCAGUUCCGGAGUCUGUUACGGAAGACUCGGGGAGUCAAAAAACCUGAUGUUAGUUGAACGGCAUGGAAAGGCCGGCCAUAGAAGGUGAUAGUCCUGUAAACAAAAACUGAUGGUCUCCCUGGGAACUGUUCUCGAGUAGCACGGUACACGUGAAAUUCCGUGUGAAGCUGCCAGGACCAUCUGGCAAGGCUAAAUACUCCCAUGUAACCGAUAGUGAACUAGUACCGUGAGGGAAAGGUGAAAAGUACUCCUAGCGGAGAGUGAAAUAGAACCUGAAACCGUAUGCCUACAAACAGUCAAAGCUCUUUUUAGAGUGAUGGCGUACCUUUUGUAUAAUGGGUCAGUGACUUAAUUUAUUAAGCAAGCUUAAGCCAUCUAGGUGUAGGCGCAGCGAAAGCAAGUCUUAAUAGGGCGAUUAGUUUUAUGAAUUAGACCCGAAAACGAAUGAGCUUACCAUGAGCAGGUUGAACGCAAGGUAACACUUGCCGGAGGACCGAACCAGUUGACGUUGAAAAGUCUUUGGAUGACUUGUGGUAAGGGGUGAAAGGCCAACCAAAUUCGUAGAUAGCUGGUUUUCCGCGAAAACUAUUUAGGUAGUGCGAUGAAUAAAUAUGCGUUUAGAGGUAGAGCACUAAAUGGGCUAGGGGGGAGAAAUCCUUACCAAACCUAAUAAAACUCCGAAUGCCAAAAGUAAUUCCUCAACAGACAGACUGUGGGUCCUAAGGUCCAUGGUCGAGAGGGGAACAGCCCAGAUCACCAGAUAAGGUCCCUAAAUCAUGAUUAAGUGUGAAAGGAUGUGGAAAUUCCUUAACAGCCGGGAGGUUGGCUUAGAAGCAGCCAUCCUUUAAAGAUAGCGUAACAGCUCACCGGUCUAAUAGAGUUUCUGCGCCUAAGAUGUAACGGGGCUCAAAUCAUAUACCGAAUCUGUGGGUGCAUAAAAUUUUCGAAUUUUAUGCGCGGUAGCGGAACGUUCUGUAAGCCUGUAAAGGAAUACCCGUGAGGGAUUCUGGAGGUAUCAGAAGUGCGAAUGCUGACAUAAGUAACGAUAAACGAAGUGAAAAACUUCGUCGCCGAAAAUCCAAGGGUUCCUGCGCAAGGUUAAUCCGCGCAGGGUUAGUCGACCCCUAAGACGAGGGCGAAAGCCGUAGUCGAUGGGAACCAGGUUAAUAUUCCUGGACCAGAUGGUAGUGACGGAUUUCGUAAAUUGUUAACUCUUAAUGGAUUGAGUUAGCUGUGAAGAAAUUCCAGGAAAUAGCUCCAUCAUAAGAUCGUACCCGAAACCGACACAGGUGGAUUAGUAGAGUAUAUCUAGGCGCUUGAGAGAAUGAUGUUGAAGGAACUCGGCAAAAUGCCUCUGUAACUUCGGAAGAAAGAGGACCUAUUUUUGGGCAACCAUAAGUAGGUGGCACAAGCCAGGGAGAAGCGACUGUUUAUCAAAAACACAGGACUCUGCUAACACGUAAGUGGAUGUAUAGGGUCUGACGCCUGCCCGGUGCCGGAAGGUUAAUGCGAUGGGUGCAAGCCUGUUUCUGAAGCCCCGGUGAACGGCGGCCGUAACUAUAACGGUCCUAAGGUAGCGAAAUUCCUUGUCGGGUAAGUUCCGACCUGCAUGAAUGGCGUAACGAUUUCUCCGCUGUCUCCAACAUCAACUCAGUGAAAUUGAAUUCUCCGUGAAGAUGC